AGUGAACGCUGGCGGCGUGCUUAACACAUGCAAGUCGAACGAGAACGGGAUAUAGCUUGCUAUAUUUGUCAGCUAAGUGGCGCACGGGUUAGUAAUGUAUAGAUAACCUGCCCUCUAGAAAGGAAUAACAGUUGGAAACGACUGCUAAUGCCCUAUAUGCCUUUAAUACAUAAGUAUGCAAGGGAAACGCUUUAGUGCUAGAGGAUGGGUCUGUAUGGUAUCAGCUAGUUGGUGAGGUAAUGGCUCACCAAGGCUAUGACGCCUAACUGGUCUGAGAGGAUGAUCAGUCACACUGGAACUGAGACACGGUCCAGACUCCUACGGGAGGCAGCAGUGGGGAAUAUUGCACAAUGGACGAAAGUCUGAUGCAGCAACGCCGCGUGGAGGAUGACACAUUUCGGUGCGUAAACUCCUUUUAUAUAGGAAGAUAAUGACGGUACUAUAUGAAUAAGCACCGGCUAACUCCGUGCCAGCCGCCGCCGUAA
rnacentral:rRNA from 1 species